UACGUAGGGAGCAAGCGUUGUCCGGAUUUAUUGGGCGUAAAGAGCUCGUAGGCGGUUAAGUAAGUCAGGUGUGAAACCUCCAGCUCAACCUGGAGACGCCACUUGAUACUGCUUUGACUUGAGUUCGGUAGGGGUAAGCGGAAUUCCUGGUGUAGCGGUGAAAUGACGUUGAGAUCGGAAGGAACGCCCGUGGCGAAAGCGAGGUCCUGGACGCCUACUGACGCUGAGACGCGAAAGCCAGGGGAGCGAACGGG
rnacentral:rRNA from 1 species